UGUGUGUGUGUUUUAUAAUUAUUCAUUCAUUUUCAUUCUUUCCUAUUGCGUUCUUUAUGAGGGCGUACGUACACCUUCCGUGCGCGUCUUCCUUUGGCCGUGUCCCCUAGUCCCUGGCCGCGAGAGCCAUUCUACAGCGGUGGGGCCGAGGAUGGUACGUGAUCCGGGUGCCAAAUAGUUGGCGGUGGUGGAUCCCUAAUCCGAUGUCUUGCUGCGUAACACCGGCACCACGGCUCAAUCAGUUUCGAGCGAGCAGCGAACCGUGAAGCAUCGGCGUCAAACAGGAUCAUCCCCUUCUGGCUAUUUGCCUCUGGUGUUACCAAAACUCUGACUGCGGAUUUAUGCCCCCGUGUGUGUGUGUGUGUGUGUGUGUGUGUGUGUAUGUGUCUGUGUCUGUGGGUGUAAAAAAAGGUUUCAAAGUUCUUGGCAAAGCGCCCCUCAAAUUGGCAACUUGGCAAGAUGUUGGCAUAGCUAAAAGAUUUGGAUUUAGCUAUUCAACUUCUUGUUUAUUUUUCCAAUUUACUUACAUCGAGAACCCGGUGGCCGUCUGUGACGGCCCGGGCAAAAGAACAUACCCCCUCCCUACCUCCCUGUCCGGAAUGUGCAACUAUCAACCACGUGUCAACUAUUCAAAACUCCCCAAGGCUGCAGCGCCAUCUAUCAGCUACCGGGGUGAAUCUCGAGGCUUGAAGCCGCAGCAGACGAAGAUUCUCCAGUACACCAAAAUGAAGCCGCCAGACAAAUGUACCGUCGACUCUUCACCGUCUCCAGCAAAACCCGCUCACCAGGGGAACGGCUACGUUACGGUAUUCGCCUCACUAACCUACUGCCAGCAGCCAGCUCCAAUUGCAGCGAAGCCCAGCCCGUUGGCGAAAGUUGACAGGUGUGCACAAGGAGCCACAUUCCACAUUCUCUUGUUGUGCCGUUCUGUGUCCCACACGAAUUCCCAAAAAAAAAAACUUUCCCAUCUGCGCUAGCGGAUGUAAAAAUUAAUGAGCUAACCUCGAAAGAACAACGCACGCGGAAAAACAGGUAUAAAUCGUGUGGUACGCGUUUCCCGCCAUUCCUCUUGGUAAUAUAUUAUUUAUGAUUUUUCAUCUAUCCGCACCGGACGCCCCAGCCGCUUAGAUGAUGGGUGUGUGUGUGUGUGUGUGAGUGUAACGGGGACGUACCGGAGCAGCAUUACGGCAAUCGGCACGAACGUCACGGUUUCCUGGUUCCAAAAUUAAGCAGCGAUUUUAAUCAACAGGUUUGGGCCGGGAGGUUUGCGGCUGAUGUGAGUGCAUUAGCUAAUAGCGGUGCGCAAAAUCGGUGGCAAACGCCUUCGUGACCCAAAUGUCCCAAGAUUCCCGCCGCCCUCCAACUAUUCCCCUGAGUUACGCUGCAUUACGGGAAGAGGACGUGCUCAAGCGACGAACCCCUUGCAGGAGGCAGCAAACCAUGAGCAAAACGUUUUUCUCGCCUUAAUAUGAUUAAUAAAAACGAUUCAACGCGAUGCUUUUUUGUGUGCGGCGACGUACGUAAAGCGCAGCCGAAACGUGGACUACUUGAGCGUGUCCUUUCAUUUUAUUUUUUUUCUGAAAGAACAAAAACACAACAAGCCUCUAAUAAAAUCUUCAAGAGCAGGUGCGCUCCAUUACUUCA